rnacentral:rRNA from 1 species
CAAUAGCGUAUAUUUAAGUUGUUGCAGUUAAAAAGCUCGUAGUUGGAUUUGUGGCGUACGGUGUGUUCCGGGCACUUGUUGUCUGAGUAACCUGCUGUUGCCAUCCUUGGGUGGAACCUGUGUGGCAUUAGGUUGUCGUGCAGGGGAUGCCCAUCAUUUACUGUGAAAAAAUUAGAGUGUUCAAAGCAGGCUUAUGCCGUUGAAUAUAUUAGCAUGGAAUAAUGAGAUAGGACUUUUUUGCUAUUUUGUUGGUUUGCGCAAAGAGGUAAUGAUUAAUAGGGACAGUUGGGGGUAUUCGUAUUCCAUUGUCAGAGGUGAAAUUCUUGGAUUUUUGGAAGACGAACUACUGCGAAAGCAUUUACCAAGGAUGUUUUCAUUAA